GAUGAACGCUGGCGGCGUGCCUAAUACAUGCAAGUAGAACGCUGAAAGCUUGGUGCUUGCACCGAGCGGAGGAGUUGCGAACGGGUGAGUAACGCGUAGGUAACCUGCCUCUUAGCGGGGGAUAACUAUUGGAAACGAUAGCUAAUACCGCAUAAAAGUCGACAUUGCAUGAUGUUGACUUGAAAGGUGCAACUGCAUCACUAAGAGAUGGACCUGCGUUGUAUUAGCUAGUUGGUGAGGUAACGGCUCACCAAGGCGACGAUACAUAGCCGACCUGAGAGGGUGAUCGGCCACACUGGGACUGAGACACGGCCCAGACUCCUACGGGAGGCAGCAGUAGGGAAUCUUCGGCAAUGGACGGAAGUCUGACCGAGCAACGCCGCGUGAGUGAAGAAGGUUUUCGGAUCGUAAAGCUCUGUUGUAAGAGAAGAACGAGUGUGAGAGUGGAAAGUUCACACUGUGACGGUAACUUACCAGAAAGGGACGGCUAACUACGUGCCAGCAGCCGCGGUAAUACGUAGGUCCCGAGCGUUAUCCGGAUUUAUUGGGCGUAAAGCGAGCGCAGGCGGUUAGAUAAGUCUGAAGUUAAAGGCUGUGGCUUAACCAUAGUACGCUUUGGAAACUGUUUAACUUGAGUGCAGAAGGGGAGAGUGGAAUUCCAUGUGUAGCGGUGAAAUGCGUAGAUAUAUGGAGGAACACCGGUGGCGAAAGCGGCUCUCUGGUCUGUAACUGACGCUGAGGCUCGAAAGCGUGGGGAGCAAACAGG
rnacentral:rRNA from 1 species